rnacentral:misc_RNA from 1 species
GAUGAAGAACGCAGCGAAAUGCGAUAAGUAAUGUGAAUUGCAGAGUUCAGUGAAUCAUCGAAUCUUUGAACGCACAUUGCGCCCUCUGGUAUUCCGGAGGGCAUGCCUGUUCGAGCGUCAUUUCACCACUCAAGCCUGGCUUGGUAUUGGGCGUCGCGGUGUUCCGCGCGCCUCAAAGUCUCCGGCUGAGCUGUCCGUCUCCAAGCGUUGUGAUUUCAUUAAUCGCUUCGGAGUGCGGGCGGCCGCGGCCGUUAAAUCUUUCACAAGGUUGACCUCGGAUCAGGUAGGGAUACCCGCUGAACUUAAGCAUAUCAAUAAGCGGAGGA